UGCCAGCCGCCGCGGUAAAACGUAGGACGCGAACGUUAUCCGGAAUUACUGGGCGUAAAGGGCGCACAGGCGGUACUUCAAGUCGGGCAUGAAAGCUCCCUGGCUAAACCGGGAGAGGAUGUCCGGGACUGGAGGACUAGAGUACGAUAGAGGGGUGUAGAAUUCCGCGUGUAGUGGUGAAAUGCGUAGAGAUGCGGAGGAAUACCAGUGGCGAAGGCGGCACCCUGGAUCGUAACUGACGCUGAGGCGCGAAAGCAUGGGUAGCGAACGGGAUUAGAUA
rnacentral:rRNA from 1 species